rnacentral:rRNA from 1 species
GAUGAACGCUGGCGGCGUGCCUAAUACAUGCAAGUCGAGCGGACCAAAGAGAGCUUGCUCUCUGAGGUUAGCGGCGGACGGGUGAGUAACACGUGGGUAACCUGCCUGUAAGACGGGGAUAACUUCGGGAAACCGAAGCUAAUACCGGAUGAUAAAGAGAGACGCCUGUUUCUUUUUUGAAAGUCGGCCUUGUGCUGACGCUUACAGAUGGGCCCGCGGCGCAUUAGCUAGUUGGUGAGGUAACGGCUCACCAAGGCGACGAUGCGUAGCCGACCUGAGAGGGUGAUCGGCCACACUGGGACUGAGACACGGCCCAGACUCCUACGGGAGGCAGCAGUAGGGAAUCUUCGGCAAUGGACGAAAGUCUGACCGAGCAACGCCGCGUGAGCGAUGAGGGCCUCCGGGUCGUAAAGCUCUGUUGUCAGAGAAGAACAAGUACCGGAGUAACUGCCGGCACCUUGACGGUACCUGACCAGAAAGCCACGGCUAACUACGUGCCAGCAGCCGCCGUAA